CAGACACCCAAAGACAAAUCAUUAUUGACAAGUGCACGUGUGGAAUUGACAGCCUUGUGCAUCAAAGUUCAGUGGGUAUUCAAGAAACCCAAAGAAAUGCUUGCACAAGGGGGCAGAACCUAAAUUCUAAGAGUAGUGUGAUUGUGAUGGAAUUUGAAGGAGUUGAGUUGGAAAAGGUUUUACAUGAAGGACAGUUUGAGAAAAUAGUAGAAGAGUGAAAAAAAUCAAUUGAGUUUGUAAACAAUUAAUAUGGAGCCAGUUUUGAAAGCAACAGUCACACAAACAAAGGCAAAGGUAAAGGGAACAAAUAGCUCACA
rnacentral:lncRNA from 1 species